rnacentral:rRNA from 1 species
AGAGGAAUAUUGGUCAAUGGACGAGAGUCUGAACCAGCCAAGUAGCGUGCAGGAUGACGGCCCUAUGGGUUGUAAACUGCUUUUGUUUGGGAAUAAUCGACAUUACGUGUAAUGUUUUGCAUGUACCAUUCGAAUAAGGACUGGCUAAUUCCGUGCCAGCAGCCGCUGUAAUACGGAAGGUCCAGGCGUUAUCCGGAUUUAUUGGGUUUAAAGGGCGUCUAGGCGGUUGGUUAAGCGUGUUGUGAAAUGUAGAUGCUCAACAUCUGACUUGCCGCGCGAACUGGCUGACUUGAGUACACACAACGUAGGCCGAAUGCAUGGUGUCGCGGUGGAAUACUUAGAUAUCAUGAUGAACUCCAAUUGCGAAGGAAGCUUACGACAAUGUUACUGACGCUUAAGCUCGAAGGUGCGGGUAUCGAACACG